GGCCCCCAAAAAAUGACCUCCUUUUUUAUCCAGGGUCUUUCCCUCUAACUUUGUAAUCCCCUCCUAUUCUGGGCUCAACUGUAUGAUUUACUUUGAGCAACAAGACAACAGCAGACUUGAUGUAAAUGAAUGCUGGAAAAAUGUUUACGCAUUUCUGUUUCCAGUCUUGGAAUUCUGACAUCACCAGAAUAAGCCUGCUGGAAGAUGAAAGACCCCGUAGAGCAAAGCUGAGUCAUAACAGCUGAGCAUCCUUGACCAGUCAGCCCUCAUUUGACUGCAGAGGCACAAGCAAGUCCAAAUGAGGUUGCCUAGGCUUGGUCCAGAUCACCAGAACCACCCACCCAACUCAUAGAUUCACGAGAAACAAUACAUGGUUGCUGGUUUAAGCCACUGUUUCAGUUAUUGAUUGCUGCUUAACAAAUGAUCCCAAAACUUAGUUACCAAAAUCACCAAUCAUUUACUAUUUUUCCUUAUUCAGUGGGUCAACUAAGCCUAGCUGAGCAUUGCCUAAGGUUACACAUGGUUUUUUGUUUGUUUGUGUUGUUUUUGUUGUUGUUUGCCUGCUUGCUUGCUUUUGAGAGAGGGUCUUGCUCUGUCACACCAGCUGGAACAGGUUGUAGUGCAAUGGCAUGAUUACAGUUUACUGCAGCCUUGAUCUCCUAGACUCAAGUGAUCCUCCCACCUCAGCCUCCCAAAUAGCUGGGACCACAGGCAUGCACCACCAUGCCUGGAUAAUUUUUUUGUGUGUGUGGAGAUAAGGUCUCACUCUGUUUCCAGGGGUGGUCUCAAACGCCUAGGCUCAAGCAACCCUCCCACCUCAACUCCCAAAGUGCCGGGAUUAUAGGUAUCAGCUGCUGUGCCUGGCCUGGGUCACUCAUUUGACUGCAUUCAGCUGGCCACUGGCAGCUGGGCUGAGUUGGAAGGUUUGAAAAGGCCUCAUUAACGUAUCAGACACCUCAAUUCUCCUCCAGAUGAUCUAUGUCCAUGUACCCAGCUUGGGCUUCCUCCCAGCAAGGUGGUUACACUUCCUCUAUGGCAUCUCACUUUCAAGAGGGAGGAAUAGAAACUGCCAAUUCUCUUAUGAGUUGAGUCUAGAAGUUCUAGAAUGUUAUUUCUGCUUCAUUCUAUUGGCCAGAGCAAGUCACAAGACCAAACAGAUUCAAGAGGAGGGGAAAGAGACUCUGCCUUCUGACUUGAGAGGACUGGAAAGAGCAUUGAAUUAG
rnacentral:lncRNA from 1 species